rnacentral:lncRNA from 1 species
GUUUCACCUCAUGAGCAGGGUUCAAGCACUCUUGACUUUUUGAUAAGUAGAGAUCACUAUCUCGUCUUCCAGUCCAUUCCCCUCCCCAGCCUUCUCCAUCCCCCUCAGAAUUUAGCUUAGUUCAUCACAGUGAGUGGGUGAUGGAGGUGAAAUAUUUUUAGCAAAUAUAUCUUGUGAUAAACUAUCCCAGUUGUAAUGCAGAGUAUUUUGGAGCAGCUUGGUCUUGAGGGCAAUAUGCUUUUUUAAAAGUCCUGUUUUUGGUGGAGAUGAAAGCUGCCAAAAUUGACUUGUUGAUAUGGAUCAACAUCUGUGUUGUGGAUGUGGGAACUCUGCCAUUACACUAGGGGUGGUCAAAGUGUCCAGACGUUUGUUGCAUUGCAACCCCUAGUGUUCCUCAUCCCUGGUUAUGCUAGUUGGGGCUGAUGGGAGGUGCAGUCCAACAAUACCCAGGGGGCUGCUUUUUGCUCACUUCUAAGCUACAUGGCUGCUCAUGAAUUGACACACAAUUCAUGUGUGUACAGGGCAAUGUUGAAAGCUGCAGGAUGCAGAGUAAACAUUGUGCUCUUGGUGAGAUUGGGUCAUUUCCUUCUAUGUAGAACGGGUCUGCCCCCCCCCCCCCCGUGUUGCUUAAAAGAUUUGGGUAGUUUGGAAAGGGGGGAAGAGAAGGCAGAAAGGACUUUUUUUUAAACAGAAGCAGCAGACAAGCUGAGUGAAGUCAUGGUGGAAGCCCAAGCUCUCUCACAUAAUUGAGGCAAUAAUUUAGGGGCAACAUCUGAAGAAGGUCUAAAGAGGAUUAGGGGGAAAGAUGGAGACAGCACCUCUGUUGCAGAAAUUUCUCAGGGUUCAGCCCAGAGCUUUUGGGGCAGUACUGGUGGUCCUUGGAUUGGUUCAGUCAGCCUUGGGAGGCCUCUUUCUCGUCUUCCACUGUUCCUACACAGACUACCUUGGCAUUCAUUUCUUCUCAGGGAUCUCGCUGUUCCUAGCUGGAAUCGUUGCUAUUAUAGUUGACCAAGUCCCCCGCAUUGGCUUGUUCUACUGCAGAGCACUGAGAGGAAUUGCUUUUGCCACUGGAGCAGUGGGCGUCUGCCUCACCGUUUGUCUCGCAGCCUUUAUCUGUCGAACCAUCUGUUACCACAGCUCUGAUGACACUGCGCCGGUCAUCGGGCUCCAUUUACAAGAUGGCAAGAGAGAUACAGAGUAAAAGCCAGGCGUGCCAGUCUCAGAAGUGAUGCUGAGGAAUUCUUCUGAGGAACACUCAAGAAGAUCUUUAAUCAGGAUCCUAUUGUGCUGCUGUUCUCCACUACUGUUUCCUAGCAAUCUUCUGUAUCAUGUAAACAAUAAAGUAUUACCAAGGUGCA